AAUGUAGCUAUGAUGACUAUAUGCAGCUUUAAAUGCCAGUUCUGCUUCAGAGAAUUCUUGAUUGAUAGAGCUGUAAUGUAUUCUGAGCUCAUU
rfam:Punica granatum cultivar Dabenzi scaffold601, whole genome shotgun sequence.